rnacentral:lncRNA from 1 species
GGGAGCCUUCAGCACGGAAUCCCAUAUGCUGCCAGUUAGAAGUUAAGCUAGAGUCCACAAAUGGUCCCAGAGUCUGGCUCCUAUUCCCAGUACACAAGACCUAUCAAAACCUGGCUCUAGGCCCCCGGGGACUGGCAGACAUCUUCAGGCGUGUUUGCACCUCCGCCUCGGGGCCGCAGGAACCUGGACUCAGGGACUAUUUAGACAACACUGAGUUGGAGAAUGGAUUGUGGCUAGCUGGACACUGGGCCCUCCGCUGGCACUGUGGUCACUGCUGGCCCCAGUGCCACCAAUGCCACAGGACACUGGAUGCCAUAGCCACCAACUCCACCAGAAGGAGUUCCGAUUAUGUUGUUCAGUCUGGAUUUAGAAGUCUCAGGGAGUGCCAAUUUCCUCUCACUGCUCCUGGAUCUGACUGAGGCAGCUCAAGAAGGAGGAAGUCGGGGAGAUCUGAUCGGUGGUUACCAGGG